GGGGAUGAUCAAGCUUCGACGGAUUCGUCACUUGAAGACAGCAGGCCGAGCGCGCACGUGACCGCUCGUAAAUCCGUCCGUGCAUCCGACAACUGCCAACAGCAUUGUCACGAAGGCUCGCGGGUUCUUCGCCUCCUUGGUGAACACCCCAUCCUUCGCUCCAGCCCUCGCUUAAACGCGACGGUUCGUGAGCCGGUUCCUCUUCGUCCGUCCCUCACGAAGAGAUCAGCCGUCACUUGUAGGGACUUGAAGCUCGCUCGUGCCACGCGAUCUUGACCCCCUUGGCACUUGAAUCGAGAGACAGACGUUUGCCUCUUUUCUCUCGAUUGACCGCGUCGCCUGACGCACAUCGGCAGACCAAGCUUGUGGACGAUUGUCCUCAAGAACGAGUUCGGACGGGGGUGCGAUACCCCCCAUCUCCACCA
rnacentral:tmRNA from 1 species